rnacentral:rRNA from 1 species
UACGAAGGGGGCUAGCGUUGCUCGGAAUCACUGGGCGUAAAGCGCACGUAGGCGGAUUCCUAAGUCGGUGGUGAAAUCCUGGAGCUCAACUCCAGAACUGCCUCCGAUACUGAGAGUCUUCGAGUCCGGGAGAGGUGAGUGGAACUGCGAGUGUAGAGGUGAAAUUCGUAGAUAUUCGCAAGAACACCAGUGGCGAAGGCGGCUCACUGGCCCGGUACUGACGCUGAGGUGCGAAAGCGUGGGGAGCAAACGGG